rnacentral:rRNA from 1 species
GACGAACGCUGGCGGCGCGCCUAACACAUGCAAGUCGAACGGAGUCAAGAGGAGCUUGCUUUUCUUGACUUAGUGGCGAACGGGUGAGUAACGCGUGAGUAACCUGCCCUGGAGUGGGGGACAACAGUUGGAAACGACUGCUAAUACCGCAUAAGCCCACGGAUCCGCAUGGAUCUGCGGGAAAAGGAUUUAUUCGCUUCAGGAUGGACUCGCGUCCAAUUAGCUAGUUGGUGAGGUAACGGCCCACCAAGGCGACGAUUGGUAGCCGGACUGAGAGGUUGAGCGGCCACAGUGGGACUGAGACACGGCCCAGACUCCUACGGGAGGCAGCAGUGGGGGAUAUUGCACAAUGGGGGAAACCCUGAUGCAGCGACGCCGCGUGGAGGAAGAAGGUUUUCGGAUUGUAAACUCCUGUCGUUAGGGACGAUAAUGACGGUACCUAACAAGAAAGCACCGGCUAACUACGUG